rnacentral:rRNA from 1 species
UACGUAGGGUGCAAGCGUUGUCCGGAAUUAUUGGGCGUAAAGAGCUCGUAGGCGGCUUGUCGCGUCGGCUGUGAAAACCUGGGGCUCAACCCCGGGCCUGCAGCCGAUACGGGCAAGCUAGAAUUCGGUAGGGGAGACUGGAAUUCCUGGUGUAGCGGUGAAAUGCGCAGAUAUCAGGAGGAACACCGGUGGCGAAGGCGGCUUGCUGGGCCAGUUCUGACGCUGAGGAGCGAAAGCGUGGGGAGCGAACAGG